rnacentral:misc_RNA from 1 species
AGUUACCUGGUAUGAGAAUUCAAGUUAAAGGGAUGCAUAAAAAGCUGCACAGGUUAUGCAGAGUUAAGUGCUGUCCAGAACAUGUGCAUAGGUAAGGUGCAUAAGCCAUGCAGUGCUGCAUAAGAGGCAAUAAAUGUGGCAUAGGCUAUGCAGGACAGUUGCAUAAGGGAAAUACAACCUGUGCAGUUCUGCAGAAGUAGCAGAAAGAGUUGCACAGGCUAUGCAAAGGUUAUGCAUGAGGAAAUUCAUAGCUGUGCAGUGUAUACAGAAACUGCUGCAUGGGAAUUGGCAAGGGGAAAUGUACAACCAGCAGUAAAAGUAUGGAAAUAUAGACAGAGUAUGGGCAAAUAUGUACAAAAAGGCAAUAAGUGCAAUAAAAAUCAAAGAAGACGAAUGUAAUAGCUAUUCAAUAAAACUUCAAAAGAAACAGAAUUUAAAAGAAACUAAUUUAGAACAAAUCAACAAAAUCCAAAACAAACUAUAAAUGUUUGAACAUAUUUACAAAGAAAAAAAAGUCCUGCAAGUUUGAACAAAAGUAAAACAAAAACUAAUCUAGUUCUAUUGUUUUGCCCUUGUCCAUUGAUAUUGCUAAGGGGCUGGUUGCAUCUGGCUGCUGUCGAAAUGAUGGUGCUGGAGGUGGAGGUGGCAUUCCCAGAAAAAUCAUGAGUUUCUUCAUCAUCUCCUUCAAUUCUUUCUGCUUGUCCCUGGUUUCCAUGACAAGGUCAAAUAGGUGAUCAUGACGAUCCUUGAGGGUAUCAAGACCAGUGUCAAGCUUCCUAUCCACAAAGUAUAUAUCAUCACUAAGCCUUUCAAGAUAGGUGAAUAAGGCUUUAGUGUUGAAUGCAGGAGGGGCUGUGGAUGAGGAGGGUUCAGCUGUAGGAGGUGUGGGCUGAGCAGAAGCUGCUGGGGUGUCCUGUGCAGAUUGAGGGGGUGGGGUAGGUUCAGUAGAGUGCUGUGGGACUGAUGGGACAGGUUGGGCUUCUGGUUGUGCAGUGGGUUCAGUUUCUGCUGCUGGUUGUGCAAUGUCAGAAUGUGGCAAACUGAACCCUGUUUUGGAUAGGUGUGCAGCAUCAAAAUAUAAGGUGUCCACAAGUGCUGGUAUUGGGUGCUCUUCAGGAUUAAAACCAAAAUGCUUGGCUAUAACAGUUAUGAGCCCACCCAAGACAAUGUCACCUAUGGAUUUUGUGGCAAUAUGCAACACAUGCUCA